AUGAGUCAUAGUAAAGCAUAAAAAUUAAUACAGAAGAUAAGACCACAAGCAAAAAUACUCAUUUUAUUCAAUUGAAGAAGAAAUUACAAUCAUUGGGUUACAAUUUAUUUGCCAACCGGGCACGCUUAAGUUCGGCUCUAAAUCCGGUCAUCAUGACCUUACAAGAGGCAACAAAAUUCUAAACUUCCCUAUGGGUGUUUUGGAGAAUCAUUAUAGAAAAGGGCAUGUUAAGUGUGUAACUGAAUCAAUAAUGGCUAAACUACAGUCAGAGGUUGGUAACAUGACAUGGACACGGUGAUGCAAGUUUGGACAUGUUUGGCAUGGUUUGGUUAUCUUAGACAUGAACUUGGUUACACUUGAAGCCAUUUGGUUAAAAAGAUGGUGAAGUCUUAAAGUUUGAAGAGAGAUAGGUCUAGGGAGGAUUGUUUAGAAAUCAGAGUCAGUCCAAGGUCAAUGGUCAAAUGUUGACAAAAAGUCAACAAUUUAACCAAAAGUCAACUGUACUAAAAAGUGUAAUUUUCUUGGUAAUUUUCAAAUUCUGAAUGCAAUGGCUUGGUAACUUGUACUUGAAGUCAAUUUGUGAUCGAAUUUUGUAAUGACUUGUAUGGAUAACUUGUUUUCCAAGUAAAUGAAGAAAAAAUCCCUCCUUUUGAAUUUGAA